rnacentral:rRNA from 1 species
GGGUGCGUAACGCGUAUAGAACCUACCUUUUACAGAGGAAUAGCCUUUAGAAAUGAAGAUUAAUGCCUCAUAGUAUUGUAGACUGGCAUCAGUUUAUAAUUAAAGAUUUAUCGGUAAAAGAUGGCUAUGCGUCCUAUUAGUUAGUUGGUAAGGUAACGGCUUACCAAGACAGCGAUAGGUAGGGGUCCUGAGAGGGAGAUCCCCCACACUGGUACUGAGACACGGACCAGACUCCUACGGGAGGCAGCAGUGAGGAAUAUUGGACAAUGGAGGAGACUCUGAUCCAGCCAUGCCGCGUGUAGGAAGAAUGCCCUAUGGGUUGUAAACUACUUUUAUACAGGAAGAAACACUGGUAUGUAUACCAGCUUGACGGUACUGUAAGAAUAAG